GACGAACGCUGGCGGCGUGCUUAACACAUGCAAGUCGAACGGACCGAGUUGAUAGCUUGCUAUUGAUGAGGUUAGUGGCAAACGGGUGAGUAACGCGUGAGAAACCUGCCUUUCAGUGGGGGACAACAGUUGGAAACGACUGCUAAUACCGCAUAACACUUUAGUACCGCAUGGUACAGAAGUCAAAGCUUAAUGUGCUGAGAGAUGGUCUCGCGUCUGAUUAGCUAGAUGGCGGGGUAACGGCCCACCAUGGCGACGAUCAGUAGCCGGUCUGAGAGGAUGAACGGCCACAUUGGGACUAAGAUACGGCCCAGACUCCUACGGGAGGCAGCAGUGGGAAUAUUGGGCAAUGGGGGAAACCCUGACCCAGCAACGCCGCGUGAAGGAAGAAGGCCUUGGGUUGUAAACUUCUUUAGCAGGGACGAAGGACGUGACGGUACCUGCAGAAAAAG
rnacentral:rRNA from 1 species